rnacentral:tRNA from 1 species
UCCCUGGUGGCUCAGUGGUAAAGAAUCUGCCUGCAAUGCAGGAGACCUGGGUUCGGUCCCUGGGUUGGGAA